AAAACAGCUAAUGAUGUCAUCGUCGUAAAUUUCCUCGGAGAUGGACGAUGGCUGAUGAUUUUGUUUU
rfam:Helobdella robusta unplaced genomic scaffold HELROscaffold_23, whole genome shotgun sequence.